UUCAAUUCAUCCCCAUCAAAAACACAAGCAAAUUAAUCCCAUAAAGUUCAUUGAUAUAGAAACUACUAGCUUCACAAAAUGAAGAAAUUGCUUGUCACAUUUUUAACUCUUGUAGUUGUAUUUAUUCUCACAGCUACAACUUAACUUCAGAACCAGAGUCACCAGUGUUAUACACCAAAUGACUACAAUUGUUCACAAGUGAAUAACUUGUUAAUUUCGUGCGUGGAUUACCUCAUUGGUGGAGAUGGUAUCCCUUCAGGUGUUUGUUGCCAAAGUGUUAAUGCAGUGAAAGCAUCAGCACCAACACAAAUUCAACAAAUGGCUGCAUGUAAGUGCUUUUUCGACGUAGCAAUUCGCCUUCCUUCCUUGCUAGAAAACAAGGCAGGUUCACUUCCUAAAUUAUGUGGUGUUAAUUUGGGUUUUAUCAUGAGCAAGCAGAACACCAAUUGUAACAAUGUUCAUGUAAGCUCAGGGCAAAGGGGAGAAUUGUACAAUUAAAAGGAUGGAUGCUUGGAAGUUUCUUCUUGAAAUAAGGAAAUAAAACGGCUUGUUGAAUUUAUGUGGUGGAACAACCGUUUCAUGUUGCAAAUAAUGAUGAAUGAAUAUUUUCUGUGUGUUCUUAUC